AGAGUGAACGCUGGCGGCAGGCCUAAUACAUGCAAGUCGAACGGCAGCACAGCAGAGCUUGCUCUGUGGGUGGCGAGUGGCGGACGGGUGAGGAAUACAUGGGAAUCUGCCCAGUCGUGGGGGAUAACGUAUGGAAACGUACGCUAAUACCGCAUCGCCGUCCGUUGGGGGAAAGCC
rnacentral:rRNA from 1 species